AACGAACGCUGGCGGCAUGCCUAACACAUGCAAGUCGAACGAUUGCCUUCGGGUGAUAGUGGCGCACGGGUGCGUAACGCGUGGGAAUCUGCCCUUAGGUUCGGAAUAACAGCUGGAAACGGCUGCUAAUACCGGAUGAUAUCGCGAGAUCAAAGAUUUAUCGCCUGAGGAUGAGCCCGCGCUGGAUUAGGUAGUUGGUGGGGUAAAGGCCUACCAAGCCGACGAUCCAUAGCUGGUCUGAGAGGAUGAUCAGCCACACUGGGACUGAGACACGGCCCAGACUCCUACGGGAGGCAGCAGUGGGGAAUAUUGGACAAUGGGCGCAAGCCUGAUCCAGCAAUGCCGCGUGAGUGAUGAAGGCCCUAGGGUUGUAAAGCUCUUUUACCCGGGAAGAUAAUGACUGUACCGGGAGAAUAAGCCCCGGCUAACUCCGUG
rnacentral:rRNA from 1 species